rnacentral:rRNA from 1 species
AAUAGAUACCCGGGUAGUCCACGCCGUAAACGAUGGAUGCUAGCUGUUAGGAGUAUCGACCCUUCUAGUAGCGAAGCUAACGCGUUAAGCAUCCCGCCUGGGGAGUACGGUCGCAAGAUUAAAACUCAAAGGAAUUGACGGGGACCCGCACAAGUGGUGGAGCGUGUUCUUUAAUUCGAUGUUAAGCGAAGAACCUUACCAGGACUUGACAUCCUUGGAAUCUUUGGGAAACCAGAGAGUGCCUUUUGGAGCCAAGUGACAGGUGGUGCAUGGUUGUCGUCAGCUCGUGUCGUGAGAUGUUGGGUUAAGUCCCGCAACGAGCGCAACCCUUGUCCUUAGUUGCCAGCAUUCAGUUGGGCACUCUAAGGAGACUGCCGGCUAAAAGUCGGAGGAAGGUGGGGAUGACGUCAAAUCAUCAUGCCCCUUAUGACCUGGGCUACACACGUGCUACAAUGGGCGGUACAGAGGGUCGCGAACCCGGCGAGGGGGAGCCCAAUCCCAAAAAACCGGCUCUCAGUUCGGAUUGCAGGCUGCAACUCG